rnacentral:lncRNA from 1 species
AUGAUUCUAAGGAAUCUCUGGAAGAGGACAGGCAUUUCUAACAAUAGUUUGGCAUCCUCCCCAUAACUAACAACCAGCUGGCAAGCAGAUGACCUAUCCAAAUAGCUAAUCAGUUUAGGCCUGACGAUCUCCGAUUUCCAUCGAUAACAAAGACCAAGAGGGACCCUCUAGGUAUGAGACUCUUUCCUCCUAAUACGCUCGCUUCUUCCCUCCUAUUACCAGAAAUCUGACUUGAGCUUAGAGGGUUCCUGCAGGAGUCAUCUCCGGUAGGAACUUCUUUGCAGGUACCGUCGCCACCGCCAUCGCGCCAUUGCCCACCAAUCAUUGCUA